CUCCUCUGCCCCCUCAGGCCAGGCGCACCGUCAGCCCGGCGGGGCCAGGCACCCAUCGCACCGUGCCCCUCCAGAGCAUCAGCCAGUGAGCUGAGCGCUGCUGCUUCCUGCUACCCAGAUAUGUUCAUCAUGUGAAAGGGAGAGAGCCCCUAAGUGAAGACGGCAGCCAGGAAUGGCAUCUGUAUUCCAUCUGAAUGGAGUGAUUAAAGCCUGGAAAGCCUGACGAAAUACAGGGUUUGUGAAGCGCAGGUGAUCUGGAAGUCCAUGCUGCAUCUGGACCUGCAGUUCUUUUCUGGCAUGUUUAUCCCAUCCAUCCCCCAGCUGCAGUUUCAGCAGGGACUGAAGGGAGGUCAGAGGCGAUUUGCUCCGUAAACACUGAAGCCCACCCCCUGGAACAGAAAUAGCAAGUUGCAUAUAGAUGUCAUUUGAACCCUUCCCUUUCUGCUUAGUCCUUUGUGUGAUUUACGUAAAUGCCAAUGUACAGUCAGUCUCUGUAUAAUAUACAAAGUAAAAAAUCUUUUAAAAAAUAAUAAAAAAAGAUUAAAACAAGAUUGGUUUUAUAGAUAUAAUUAUAUCUUUGAUACUGCCACCUAACAUACCCUUUCCAGCUUAAAAUAAGUGUAGUAUGCCUGAGUGCUUCAAAAAAUCUUAAAAAUAAGCCUACAAAAUACUGACAUUUAGUAUGGAGGAGAAUAUUAAAAAUCUUUGUCCAGUCAAGAAAGACCUGAGGUCAACACCCAGAAUGCUAAUUUGCCUUUACAAUAUUCCAAGCAUACAAACUGCAGUCAAAAUUUGUCUGUGGUUUGUUCUUUUAGGCUUGACAUCUGCUCUGCAUCAUAGUCCCAAAAUCAAAACUGUGUUAGCACAUGUUUAAGCACAGUCUUUCAACAAGAAAUUAAAAAGCUGAGGACCGUGUGAAAUUCUUAUUGCUACAGGGCUCACUUCAAAGGCUGGAGACCCCCUUGCCCAUGGUAAUGGGAGUGACAGGUGAGAGAGAGCAGCGUGAGCUUAAGGGGGUCACAGUCCAAGCCAGCAGGAGAGGAGGAGAAAUUCAAGCAACUCCCAAUUUCUGUGAUUAAAACUAAAUUGCUCCUUACCUCCAUCUUGCUCUUGAAGAGCAGAACAUUACUUUGGGGAUGAAAUAAUAAAGCCAUACUGGCUAAUUACCUUAUAAUUAAAAGUGAACCGAUUACUAAGUCAGGAUCUCUAGUAGUUAACUAAGAAUUUAAUUUACAACUCAUAUAAUGAAGGCUGAGUGUAAAAUUCAUUACAAAGCUCUUAACACUUUUUAUUUUUGAGGAUGAUUUUAGAAUAUAAGAUGUUCUGUUUUCUAGAACUCUUGAAACCUAGCUAAAAAGAUUUGCACAUCCAGCUAAUGAAAUCUAUGGGCUGAUAGAAAGUACAUUGCACAUUUGCACCCUGCAUCUCUGUUUUUGAGGAUUUGGCUGUUCAACGUUUUGCUCUGAUAUUUGACUAGCUCUGCUUUUGAAUAAAAGUUGUGCAGACGUGCACGGAUACGUUAGCUGUCUGGUAUCUUGUCAAAAUAGAAGGUGAAUAAGAGAGAGAUGUGCAGGAGGCAUUAUUCACUUGUGCAGUGCUGUCUAUUGCUUUAUUUUCAUGCUUAUUUCACUUCUAUGCUGUAACUGAAAUUUUUAGUACUAUCUUUUGAAUUACUGUGUAAGAGAAAGAAAUAAAACUAGUUCUGUAGGUAAUGGUUGCAUAUAGGUGCACUGGUUGUGUAUUUAUCAUAUGAACUCAGUGUCUGUACUUGUGUUACAAGUAAAAGCUUAUAUUGGUAACAAUUAAAAAAAAAAAAAAAAAAAAAAGAAUAGAAUAGAAUGAAAACAGCCUGAUCUUGUAGUUUCUGUUUUAUCUACUUGUUUGCAGUGUGUUACAGACUGUGACUUCAGAUCUGCUGCAGAGUAUCAAGAUAAACACAUAAAAUACUAUUGAAAAAGGCUAAUGAGUUCUUUGUGUUUAUAACCAAUUUUUCAUUUUUUUAACUUGACCUACCCACAGUGCUGUGGACUGUGUGUUGUAAACCCUGCA